ensembl:lncRNA
AUGUCCAGCAAAGAAGACAAAGUGAAAAGUGAGUCCAGUAUAAUACGUUUUGAAAGAAAAAGUACCACUACUGAGUCUGCCACAAGAGGAAAUGACAGAAGAAGUACUGAGUCUGCCACAAGAGGAAACAGAAGAAGUACUGAGUCUGCCACCAGAGGAAACAGAAGAAGUACUGAGUCUGCCACAAGAGGAAAUGACAGAAGAAGUACUGAGUCUGCCACAAGAGGAAAUGACAGAAGAAGUACUGGGUCUGCCACAAGAGGAAAUGACAGAAGAAGUACUGAGUCUGCCACAAGAGGAAAUGACAGAAGUACUGAGUCUGCCACAAGAGGAAAUGACAGGAGGAGUACUGAGUCUGCCACAAGAGAUGACAGAAGAUCACCAAGCACAGGGAAAGAAAAAAGGAACACGAAACGGAGCCACAGUAGAUCAUCUUCCUCAUCCAGCUCAUCAUCAUCAUCCUCCUCGUCAUCCUCCUCAUCCUCAUCCCACUCUUCAUCCCACAGUAGGAGAUGUUCCAGCAGUAGUGAUUCCCACAACAAAUCCAGAAGGAAUUCUAAGAAAAGGAAAAAGGAAAAACAACACAAGAAGAAAGGGAAAAAGGAGAAGAAGCAUAAACAAAAGAAGGACAAGAAAAUGACACCAGAGGAGGAAAGCGCUGGACCUGGACCUAUUCAGAUCUCCAAGUAUUUAAAGGAGAGGAGGAGAAAAGGCAAGUACAGCAUGAUCACAGGAAAGAAGAUCAAAAUGAAAUUAAAGAAGUCCAAGAAAGACAAGCUGAGGGACAAGAAUCGCGCCGAACUGCUUGAGUUCCUCAACUCCACGUUGUAAUGCAAAGGGCCGUCACCGUUGGUUAUGUUCCAGAAACUUCCAAUUUUUGUCCAGAACAGAACUCAGGGAAUGACGACCAUUUUGAUGAAGCUCUGAACUAAUAUCCAUUUACAGGGUUAUUAUUAUCACUGCAAGAGAUGUGGGACAUGGCCUGUAAUCUCAAAAUGACAGAAUGUGCCAUGUCUCUCUUUUAGAAAAAGCGUGUUGUCACUCCUGUGGUUGUCAGCCCCUUUCUUCAGACCAGUGGAGACUGCUGAAGGAGAACGGCUCAUAAUAAUGGCUGGAACGGAGCCAAUGGAAUGGCAUCAAACCAUGUGUAUUCGAUGCCAUUCCACCAAUUCCGCUCCAGCCAUUACCACAAGCCCGUCCUCCCCAAUUAAGGUGCCACCAACCUCCUGUGCUUCACACUGUUUGUAACUGAUUUCUGUGUGUUUGGUCUUUAGAAUUGUAAUUUUACUAUAACAUCAAAGGAGCCAGUCACUGACUUUUUAUCAGUAUGUUUGCUGCACAAGGUGUUGCUAAGCAAGUUAGAACAGUGUUGCUGUGGUGGAGACUACAGAUCAGCAAAGAUCUGAGUGAUGAACAACAUAUCUGGGUUCAAAUAGUAUUGGUUUUCUUUUAAGUACUUCAGUUGAUUAAGCUUGCCCGGCACAAUGGAACAAAGGAAAAGUGCCAACCCAUCCAUCUUACACGCCAGCAGGCUCAAGAGCUUAAAGUAUUUGAAAGCAAAUACUAUUUGAACCCAGGUCUGAUGAACAAAGAGAUUUGGGUACAUUUUAUUGUAACGUAAUCUGUCAAAUAGAACACCAGUCCGGCAUUGCAUUGUGUUUGAUGAUGAUCUAUGUUUUUCUAGUUAUUUUAAGAAGGUCCAAAACAGUCCUGCAGCUAAACUCGGGUCCCCUGGAAUGUAGUUAUUGUUAGAUAUAUUGAUUAUCAGAGAAUAAUGUAUAGUAUGUACAAAUCUGAGACUGGAAGCUGGAUGUCAUCACAUGUAAUACUAUAAAUCAAUAUUAUUUUGGAUGAGCUUUUUAUAUUUUGUGAAGCCCACUUGAUGUGGCAAACUGCUUACAGUCCACCCAAUAAAACAGCUCUUCUCUCAACAGCAAUAAACUGCUGCUGUUAUAGAGAUUCUUUACAAUAGUCAUCUGAAAUGUUACAGUACAAUCAAGCAUUCAUUCCCAUUGUGUAUGAAUUAUUGCUGCCAUUGUGUGCCUCUUAUGAGACACAGUUUGUCCUGUAUCCAGGCUUUGUCAGUCUUAUUGGACAAGGCAAAUAGCCCAGGCACCUCAACCUUGGUUGCUGAGCAAUAAAACGGUGCCUUUGUGCUUACCGCCUAGCUUUUUUCAUGCUUACCCCAUAGCUUAGAUGUGGAUUUCUAUGCUUUUUGCUGUAAGAAAGUGAUUUGAAAUAUUUGGCAUUUCAAAUAUUUGCACAGCAAUUGUAUUUUGCUGAUAAGUCAAUAGCAAUAAAGUAAGACCGACAACACAAAGAGAUCAAGAUGCACUGUAUUCCAACUGUAAAGAGUUUGAACGAAGAUUGAUAUAAUCUACAAUGUCAUGGUAACCACUCCAAUAGAGCAGUCAGUUUACUGUUGAUUUUUCAAGUUAUAAAAAGGUCACUAAAAAGCCAUGAUAAGCAGCACUUCCCUUUACAGUGCCAAAAAAAUGCUUGAGAAAAAAACAGAACUUGUUGAUUGUUUCAUGUAUAAGUCUCAUUGGUUAACUACAAUUUAAAUACAUGUAGCUCCGGAGUAUUAUGUUGUUAUAAUGAAAAAAAAGCACAGUAAAAGGAAGUGCAUGCAACACAUCUCAAAACAUUGUGAAAUAUCCUUAGCAUAGCUCCCCGUAUCAAAUUCAUAAGUCAAAAGCUUUCAAUAGUGGAUGACCCCACACUGCCGAAGGAGAGGAUGGGAGAGGCAUGUCUCCUAUUUCUCCCCAUUCUUGUUCAAAGCAGACUGGGCAGGUUCCAGGGGUUUAUUAUAGGCUACCUCUCACUAGCGUUGCUCUAUCCUCCACUGAACCACAAUA